CAGCCGCCACGGUAAUACGUAGGGUGCGAGCGUUAAUCGGAAUUACUGGGCGUAAAGCGUGCGCAGGCGGUUUUGUAAGACAGGCGUGAAAUCCCCGGGCUCAACCUGGGAAUGGCGCUUGUGACUGCAAAGCUAGAGUGCGGCAGAGGGGGAUGGAAUUCCGCGUGUAGCAGUGAAAUGCGUAGAUAUGCGGAGGAACACCGAUGGCGAAGGCAAUCCCCUGGGCCUGCACUGACGCUCAUGCACGAAAGCGUGGGGAGCAAACAGGAUUAGAGACCCCCGUAGUCCCUGUCUCUUAUAC
rnacentral:rRNA from 1 species